GGGGACUUUUCGACCGUGCCCCCCUUUUUUAUCACAGUACCCUUAACUUCACCGUAUAUUUGCGAUUAAAUCUCCGUUCUCCGUCUUCUCUCUCGCUCUGCUUCUUCCUUUCCAAUUCCUUUUUCUCUUUUUUUUCGUACAGAACUGAGCUCUCUCUCUUGAUUCACUCGCCUUCCAUAUCUGAUCUAAUCUCUUUAAUUCCUCUUUUCCAAGUUAAUUCACCUGAUUUAAGGGUUAUGCUUCAAAUUCACUUGAUUGAACCAUCAAGUUUGAGGAAAAAAACUUAAUUCAUCUGUAUUCAUCUCUAGAAGUCGUGAAUGGCUAGAACGACAUCAAAGAAAUCAAAGACAAGAGAUCAAAGACAAGAGAACAGAAUUGCAGGUACAGACUAACUGUUCGAAGAAUUAUAGCAGUUAGAUUAGAUCCUAGAAUACAAGCUCGGCAAGACAUGAAUGCUGGGAAGAAAAUAUAACAACAAAGAUAUGUUCGAUAAAACAAUCGGCGUAUUUUUGAAAAGGCAAAACGAGCAGCAAUGACGGAAAAUGAAAGACAAGAGCUUCUUCAAAAACGACUCAACGCUUAUCAUAUGCCAACAGCAGCACGAGACACACAUCCAACAAAAAAUGAGCAUGAAGCAUCAACAAGUUCUGAUGGAUUCACAAGGUAAGAUUUUGGGUUUCUAUCCACGUCGAAGUCCAAGAAUUAUCGACAGGCAAUCUCAACAACAAGGAGAUGCUCACUUACAGCGACGCCGUGCUACAUAUGCAAGGCAAUCCCAACAGCAAAGAGAUUGUCACUUACAGCGGGGUCGUGCUGCAUAUGAAGUAAAACGAGAUUCGAUAGCUGAAGUCGAAACACUAGCGCUUCUUGAUCAAACUGAGUAAUGCUUAUCGCAUUGAAGGUAAAAGGUACCUUCCUGACACCAUUGAUGUUGCCAGUGGAGGACGACAACAGGGAUCUACAGGCUGUGAAUGUUAAGAAAUGAACUCUUCCAGUUUAGGCAUCUCGAGCCUUUGGGUAAAUAGCGAAGUGCAUCCAGUUCCCCACUGUUGGAUUGAUAUCAAGUGCAGUGAAAUUUAUUAAAGUUCCUUUUGAAUAUCCCAAAGCAUUCUAUACAAAACUGGAGUCUGUCCCUUAUCAUUUUUCUCAUUAGAACUGUUUAUGUUUCCAUUUUCAUCAUAAAAUCUUUGUAUGAAGACAGAUACCUAAUAAGCCUACUAGCAAAGAAGUUGUUUAGUUUGUCACUCUUUAUGUUUUAUAUAAGUUUUGUAUCAGAACGAAAAGCCGGCAGGUGCAUCGCACGUGCGUCUUUGCUAGUUUUUCUAAAGGGGAGACGGUGAAACCAUGACGGAAGAAAAGAGUGAACCCUAAUGGGAAAACUAAAAUCCUAUGUCGCUCGUAUCGAUCUUUCUGUCUCUUCCUCUGAUAUCUCUCGAAUCCCUGUAGAUUGUUUUGGUUUGGAUUCUUCAAAUCCCUAAACUCAAAAGUGGAAGGACUUCAAAUUUUGAUUAUGAGAAUGGGUACCACAUCUUGGAGGAUAUACAACAGAAUAUUGCUCUUGGGCUACAGUUAGUAAAUGUAGAGAAAAAUGUUUUGGUUUUGCACUAGAAAAUGUUUUGAAAUAUUAACAACCAGCCUAAGGUUUGCAUUUCUCGUUACCUUCAUUCGUUAUCCAAAUUUCUCAAUUUACUCUUUCUAUUUUCAGUUCCUAUUACCUCAUGUCACUUGGUUUAAAUCUUCUUUUGCUAUUUGCGGUCAAACCAAUUCAUGCUUUAGAAUUAACUCUCGCUACCAUGUGAACAUACAUCUUCUAGGCUACUUUUGUAACCCUUAUUGCUGCUUUAGCCCUUACCAACCCCAAGAUACAACACUCGGUUCUAGUAUCUGCACUACUUAUUUGUUCCCUCCUUAAUUAUAGCAGUUGUUUAAGUACUAGUCUCUUUGAUUUUUCAUUAAUCUGUUUAUUUGGGUGUAUUUUUUUCUUGCACCCCCUCUUGCAAAAUCCUGACUCUGCCCAUGAGCUUAGGUAGUCCGCUUAGUAAGUUACUGUAGAAGAAUGAUUAGUCAAGUGAGGCACUUGUUGUCAGGUUAUGUAACUGUACUUUCUUUGUGUAGUUACCUUUUUUACUUGAGUUGGAGUACACUGAUGUGAAAGAGAGCCUCUUGCAAGCUGCUCGUAAAGCUCCUGUUGAGCCCUUGGCUUCCAAGAGUUCGAUUGUUAUAGGGGGAAAUACUAGAGAGAACUGUCUUCUUGUAGAAACCCAUGCAUGAAACAGUUUCGAGGCCAUACUUUGAGCUUAUUAAUGCGAGACUCUUCAAACUUGCACUAAAUGAGAGAGAUUUGCCAAGGCAAUCCGAAAUGGUGACGUCGAUGUAAUUUUACACCAUGCAAAUGGGUGAUGGUAUCAAAGGAGACUGGGGAUGUUUGCUGCACAAAUGAACCUGGAAUCUGCUUUAAACUUGGAGACUGGGGAUGUUUACUGCACAAAUGAACCUGGAAUCUGCUUUCAACUUGGAGGAUUGUCUUCUGCCUCAACAUGCAUAAUGAGACUGUGGGUGCGCUGCGUAUCUCUCCAAAUUCACAUCACAUGAGAAAGAAAAAAGAAGCGCAGAAAAGGGAAGGGAGAGAUAACAACAGAACAGAAGCUUGCAAAGCAUAUUGCCGAGGGGAAAGUAUAAGUUUCAGAUAGGAAAGCCCUGGGCGACAUUACAAACUGGAGGAAGUUGUCUCUUUGGAAUUAAAGAAGAAAAAUCCUAAGAAAUUGAAUGACAUUUCUGGAGAACGGUUCCUACACGAUCAUCAGAAAUGUAUUAAAUCACAGAAUUUUGAAAUGGAUAGGUAGUUGCUUCUUAAAACACUUGUAUUUGAUGAUGAUUUCUCUGUGCCAGUGUCUAAGCCAGGCAUUGUUUCAGCUUCGUUACCACCAAAGCAUUCUUACACUGUACAUUAUUGAAUUGUUCUUUGGAGUAUGAUGAGAUUCCGAAGUUACCUUAUGAAGUUCAAUCCCCACCUUGAUACCGCACUCCUGAACGCUCUCCUUCUCUGAUGUUGCUUGGAUCGCC